rnacentral:lncRNA from 1 species
GUUUACAUAUACAAGUCACCACCUCCUCCAUCACCUACUUAUGUUUACAAGUCACCACCACCACCAGUGAAGUCACCUCCCUAUUACUAUCAAUCUCCACCUCCACCAUCACCAAAACCUCAGCCUCCUUAUUAUUAUCACUCUCCACCUCCUCCAACACCAGUUGUUAAGCCACCAUACUACUACCAAUCUCCACCUCCUCCAUCUCCAAAACCUAAGCCUCCAUACUACUACCAAUCUCCUCCUCCUCCAUCACCAAAACCUAAACCUCCUUACUACUACCAAUCUCCACCUCCUCCAUCACCAAAACCUCAGCCUCCAUACUACUAUCAAUCUCCACCUCCUCCAACACCAGUUGUGAAGCCACCAUACUACUACCAAUCUCCACCUCCUCCAUCACCAAAACCUCAGCCUCCUUACUAUUACCAAUCUCCACCUCCUCCAACACCAGUUGUUAAGCCACCAUACUACUAUAAAUCUCCACCUCCCCCAUCACCCUCUCCUCCACCACCAUACUACUACAAAUCUCCACCACCACCAUCCCCAUCACCGCCACCUCCAUACUACUAUAAAUCUCCACCUCCACCAUCACCGGUUGUUAAGCCACCAUACUACUAUAAAUCCCCACCUCCCCCAUCACCCUCUCCUCCCCCUCCAUACUACUAUAAAUCUCCACCUCCAUACUACUACCACUCUCCACCUCCACCAUCACCAGUUGUUAAGCCACCAUACUACUACAAAUCUCCACCUCCACCAUCACCCUCACCUCCCCCUCCAUACUACUAUAAAUCUCCACCCCCACCUUCACCAUCCC